GGGGAAUUUUGGACAAUGGGGGCAACCCUGAUCCAGCCAUGCCGCGUGAGUGAAGAAGGCCUUCGGGUUGUAAAGCUCUUUCGGACGGAAAGAAAACGGAUGGGUUAAUACCCUGUUCGGAUGACGGUACCGUCAUAAGAAGCACCGGCUAACUACGUGCCAGCAGCCGCGGUAAUACGUAGGGUGCGAGCGUUAAUCGGAAUUACUGGGCGUAAAGCGUGCGCAGGCGGUUGAUUAAGACAGGCGUGAAAUCCCCGGGCUUAACCUGGGAACUCGGCUUGUGACUGGUCGGCUAGGGUCCGGCAGGGGGGGUUGGAUUUCCACGUGUAGCAUUGAAUGCGUAGAGAUGUGGAGGAACACCGAUGGCGAAGGCAGCCCCCUGGGCCGAUACUGACGCUCAUGCACGAAAGCGUGGGUAGCAAACA
rnacentral:rRNA from 1 species